rnacentral:rRNA from 1 species
UGGGGAAUUUUGGACAAUGGGCGCAAGCCUGAUCCAGCCAUGCCGCGUGCGGAAAGAAGGCCUUCGGGUUGUAAACCGCUUUUGUCAGGGAAGAAAUCUUCUGAGUUAAUACCUCGGGAGGAUGACGGUACCUGAAGAAUAAGCACCGGCUAACUACGUGCCAGCAGCCGCGGUAAUACGUAGGGUGCAAGCGUUAAUCGGAAUUACUGGGCGUAAAGCGUGCGCAGGCGGUUUUGUAAGACAGAGGUGAAAUCCCCGGGCUCAACCUGGGAACUGCCUUUGUGACUGCAAGGCUUGAGUGCGGCAGAGGGGGAUGGAAUUCCGCGUGUAGCAGUGAAAUGCGUAGAUAUGCGGAGGAACACCGAUGGCGAAGGCAAUCCCCUGGGCCUGCACUGACGCUCAUGCACGAAAGCGUGGGGAGCAAACAGGAUUAGAUACCCUGGUAGUCCACGCCCUAAACGAUGUCAACUGGUUGUUGGGAAGGUUCCUUCUCAGUAACGUAGCUAACGCGUGAAGUUGACCGCCUGAGGAGUACGGCCGC